CCUCUUUUCAGCAGAGGGUUGUUGACCUUUAAAGUCAAUAUAGCGAUCAUGUGACCAGUCACUCUUGAAGGACACACAGCUGGGUUCAGGUUCAGGUCCAGGUUCAGGAUCAGGUUCAGGUUCAGCAGGGUCUGGUCUCUGAUGGGUCCU